rnacentral:piRNA from 1 species
UGCUGGGGUUGGGGGCUGGUCUGUGCAUAAUC